CUUUCUUCCCUUCCUGAUAAGGACCUCAUUCUUCUCUUUUCGAUAAGGUUAACUUCUAAGCCCCUCCCUUUACCCCUUUCUUCCCUUCCUGAUAAGGUUAACUUCAGGACCCCGUUCUUCUCUUUCCGAUAAGGUUAACUUCGGAGACCCGCCCUUUACCCUUUUCUUCUCUCUCCGAUAAGGUUAACUUCGGACCCCAUCCCUUAG
rnacentral:lncRNA from 1 species